UACGGAGGGCCCAAGCGUUGUUCGGAAUCACUGGGCGUAAAGCGCGUGUAGGCGGCUUGGCAAGUCGGGUGUGAAAGCCCGGGGCCUAACGACGGAACUGCAUUCGAAACUGUCUAGCUAGAGUCCCGGAGAGGAUGGCGGAAUUCCCGGUGUAGUGGUGAAAUACGUAGAUAUCGGGAGGAACACCGGCGGCGAAGGCGGCCAUCUGGACGGUGACUGACGCUGAUACGCGAAAGCGUGGGGAGCAAACAGG
rnacentral:rRNA from 1 species